UGAUAAAAUAUAGCUCCCUUAAGCAAUCCAAAAUGAGAAUAUUAUUGAUAUUAGAUAAGCUUAGUUGAAAUAAUUUAUUCUACUAACAAAGUGACAUGCUAGGUAAGAAGCUCUGUCUCUUUUUUCCUUUUCGUCCCUCCCUAGCAUCUACAAAGCCCAUGUCUUCGCAUCAUCAAAGCCCAGUCCAAACACCAGGAAUCAUGCCUCACAAGAUUUCAGUUUUGAAUAGCAAGUAAACUAGUGAUGACCUCAAACCCACAAAACACCCUAGAUGCGUCCGCUACCAACCACUAUUAUAAGCAUCUCUAAAGAUCAUUAAAUAAACAAGCGAGACAAAUUCCCAAACGUAAGGCUUUCACCUUAAUCAAAGCAAGCACUACCUCAUUAACGAUUCAAAUUUCAAUAUAACUCACUGAUUACAAAAGCAAAAUACAAACUGCUAUUCUUGCAGCAAAAAUUUUCGUAAUAAAAUAAAAUAAGUUUAUUAAAAACCCAAAACCGAAAGCAUGAAUUGUGGUCAAUAAUUACGAAAA
rnacentral:misc_RNA from 1 species